CAGCCGCCACGGUAAUACCGGCGGCCCGAGUGGCGGUCACUCUUAUUGGGCUUAAAGCGUCCGUAGCCGGGUUGGGAAGUCCUCCGGGAAAUCUGGCCGCUUAACGGUCAGAAUGCCGGAGGAUACUCCCAGCCUAGGGAGCGGGAGAGGCCGAGGGGAUUCCCGGGGUAGGGGGGGAAUCCUAUAAUCCCGGGAGGACCACCUGUGGCGAAGGCGCUCGGCUGGAACGCGUCCGACGGUGAGGGACGAAGGCCAGGGGAGCAAACCGGAUUAGAUACCCGGGUAGUCCUGGCUGUAAACGAUGCGGACUUUGUGUCGGACAAGCUAUGAGCUUGUCCGGUGCCGGAGGGAAACCGUUAAGUCCGCCGCCUGGGAGUACGGCCGCAAGGCUGAAACUUAAAGGAAUUGGCGGG
rnacentral:rRNA from 1 species